CCCACCCCUUGGUCAGGAAAUGUGAGCAGAGCUGAUGGAAGCUGAUAGGCAGGGCUGAAGUGUUAGCACCAGUACUGGAUGUGACAGCAGGCAGAGGAGCACUUAGCAGCUUAUACAGUGUCCGAUUCAGAUUCCGGCAAGGAUCCAAGCAUGGAAUGCUGCCGUUGGGCAACUGCUGGCACUCUGUUCCCGCUCCUGGCUUCCCUGCUCCUGAGUUCCAGAACAGCUCGGUCUGAGGAAGACCGAGACAUGCUGUGGGAUGCCUGGGGUUCAUGGAGUGAAUGCUCACGCACUUGUGGAGGAGGAGCUUCCUACUCACUUAGACGCUGCCUGAGCAGCAAGAGCUGUGAAGGACAAAACAUUCGAUACAGAACAUGCAGCAAUGUGGACUGCCCUCCAGAAGCAGGAGAUUUUCGUGCCCAGCAGUGCUCUGCUCAUAAUGAUGUCAAGUACCAGGGACAUUUUUAUGAAUGGCUUCCAGUCUCUAAUGAUCCUGAUAACCCAUGUUCACUGAAGUGCCAGGCUAAAGGAACAGCUCUGGUUGUAGAACUGGCGCCAAAGGUUCUCGAUGGAACACGAUGCUAUACUGAAUCACUGGAUAUGUGCAUUAGCGGCUUGUGCCAAAUUGUUGGCUGUGAUCACCAGUUGGGAAGCACUGUCAAGGAAGAUAACUGUGGGGUCUGCAAUGGUGAUGGGUCCACCUGCCGGCUGGUUCGAGGCCAAUAUAAAUCUCAACUCUCAGCAAAUAAAUUGGAUGACACGGUGGUUGCUGUUCCCUAUGGAAGUAGGCAUGUUCGCCUUGUGCUGAAAGGACCAGACCACUUAUAUUUGGAAACCAAGACUCUUCAAGGUGUGAAGGGUGAAAACAGCCUCAGCUCCACAGGCUCUUUCUUUGUGGAUAAUUCUAGCAUCAACUUUCAGAAGUUUCCAGACAAGGAGAUACUCAGAAUAUCUGGGCCUCUCACUGCAGACUUCACAGUCAAGGUUCACUACGCUGGUACUGCUGACAGUACAGUACAGUUCAUCUUCUACCAGCCUAUCAUUCACCGAUGGAGGGAAACAGAUUUUUUUCCUUGUUCAGCAUCCUGUGGAGGAGGUUAUCAACUGACAUCUGCUGAGUGUUUUGAUCUGAGAAGCAAUCGGGUAGUAGCUGAUCAAUACUGUCACUACUACCCUGAAAAUAUCAAGCCAAAGCCAAAACUUCAGGAAUGUAACUUGGACCCUUGUCCAGCCAGUGAUGGAUACAAGCAGAUCAUGCCCUAUGACCUCUACCAUCCCCUUCCUCGGUGGGAAAGUACUCCAUGGACAGCCUGUUCCUCCUCAUGUGGAGGAGGCAUUCAGAGCCGCACAGUCUCUUGUGUAGAGGAAGACAUUCAGGGGCACAUCAGCCCUGUGGAAGAGUGGAAGUGCAUGUACACUCCAAAGAUGCCUGUUGUUCAGCCCUGCAACAUAUUUGAUUGUCCAAAGUGGCUGGCUCAAGAGUGGUCUCCGUGCACUAUAACAUGUGGACAGGGGCUUAGAUACCGUGUAGUUCUGUGCAUUGAUCACAGAGGGAUGCACACAGGAGGCUGCAGCCCAAAAACAAAGCCUCACAUAAAGGAAGACUGCAUCGUACGCACUCCUUGCUAUAAACCCAAAGAGAAACUUCCUGUAGAAGCAAAGCUGCCAUGGUAUAAACAGGCUCAAGAGCUGGAAGAAGGAGCUGUGGUGUCUGAAGAACCAUCGUUUAUUCCUGAGGCCUGGUCUGCCUGUAGUGUCACAUGUGGAGUGGGCAGCCAGGUACGGCUAGUGAAGUGUCAGGUCCUUCUGUCUUUCUCUCAGUCUGUUGCUGACCUGCCCAUUGAUGAAUGUGAAGGUCCCAAACCUGCAUCACAACAAGUCUGUUACAGUGGUCCCUGCAGUGGGGAGGCUGCUGAAUAUAACCCUGAGGAAACGGACAUUGUCUAUGGCAGCUUGCAAGACUUUGAUGAGCUGUAUGACUGGGAGUAUGCAGGCUUUACAGAAUGCUCAGAGUCAUGUGGAGGAGGUGUCCAGGAAGCAGUGGUGACUUGCCUGAACAAACAGACAAGGGAGAUUACAGAUGAAACUCUGUGUGUGACCAGUCGCCGUCCUCCACAGCUAUUAAAAGCCUGCAAUCUGGAGCCCUGUCCCCCAAGAUGGGAGAUUGGAAAAUGGAGCACCUGUAGUCUCACCUGUGGAGUUGGAUUGCAGACUCGAGAUGUCUUCUGUUCUCACCUACUCUCAAGAGACACAAAUGAGACGGUGAUUUUGGCAGAUGAGCUGUGCCAUAAACCCAAGCCCAGCCUAGUACAAGCCUGCAGUCGUUUUGACUGUCCACCAUCCUGGUACCCUGCAGACUGGCAAGAGUGUUCACAGACCUGUGGAGGAGGUGCUCAGAAGCAAGAUAUGCUCUGCAAGCAGCGUCUGGCAGAUGGAAGUAUUUUGGAGCUUCCAGAAACCUUCUGCUCCUCUCCAAGACCAGUUUCCCAUCAAGCUUGCAAAAAUGAGGACUGUCCUAAUGAGUGGCUUCUCUCUAACUGGACUCAGUGUUCGGUGAGUUGUGGAAAGGGCACCCAGACUCGAAAUGCCAUUUGCAGGAAGAUGCUGAAAACUGGGGAUUCUGUCAUCAUCAAUUCCUCUCUGUGCCCACCUUUGCCUUUUUCUUCUUUGGUCAGGCCCUGUGCACUAUCCGUAUGUGCAAGGCACAACAGGCCAGCUCAGAAGCAAAGCCCUCAUAUUGUGGCUGUGAAGAAAGUUUACAUCCAGACAAGGAAACAGAAAAAACUUCACUUUAUCGUGGGUGGCUAUGCCUACCUGCUGCUCAAAACCUCUGUUGUCCUCUGGUGCCCAGUGAGAAGGUUCCGUAAAUCAAUGAUCACCUGGGAAAAGGACAACAAACGACUCAUCAGCUCUGUUCAUGUCACUGUUGCACCAUAUGGGUACAUGAAAAUCCACCGUUUGAAGCCUUCAGAUGCUGGAACCUACAUUUGCACAGCAGGGCCAGCACAGGAACAUUUUGUGAUUAAACUGAUUGGAGGCAACAACAAACUCAUCACCCCAUCAUCUGGGAUCAGGGAGGAAGAAGCCAUGAGGAAGGCCAAUAUAAACGAAGCUUUACGUAUGCAAGAGAAACAUCAGAAUGGAAUUAUCUUUAAUGGAAGCAAGGUCGAAAAACGAGGGCAUCUUACUGAACCGAGUAGCCAAUACGAUGAGCUUAUCUCAAAGCUCCUGGAGCAGAGAUGUUGGCCUGGGGAAAACUUGGAGACGUGGGAAACUCAGGACUCUACAGAGAGAAAUGCUUCUUCAGAAGAGGACCAGAGUCAGGAAUACAGCCUUCCAUUUACCAUGGUUGCUGAGCAGAAAAUCUUGGAUGAUAUCAUCAGGAAUUUGUCUCAGCAGCCUGAAGAACUUAAGGAUGUCUACACAAAACAACUCAUUGUACAGCUGGCCCAUGACAUUUUCAAGAGCCAUUUGGAAUAUCAGGAUUCUAUAUUCAAAGCACAGGACAGAAGAAUCAAUUUAGCUUCAGUAGAGUACCCUUUCCACAAACACGUUUCUGGAUUCACCAGCUCCUUGAGAACAUCGUCUGCUGAAGCACACUUAUCCACAUCUAUAGAGCUGGCAAAUGGCUUACAAAGGCCCCAUCGAAAGCCUGCUAUCCUCAGGAAGAUUUCAGCAGCACAGCAACUCUCAGCCUCAGAAGUUGUUACCCAUUUGGGACAAACGGUAGUCUUAGCUAGUGGGACACUGAGUGUACUACUUCACUGUGAAGCCAUUGGAAACCCAAAGCCUAUGAUAAGCUGGGCUAAGAAUGGAGUGGAGGUGAAAUACAAUAAUAGGAUACUCCUUCAGCCUGAUGACUCCUUGCAGAUUCUAGCCCCAGUGGAAGCUGAUGUGGGUUUCUACACUUGUAAUGCAUCCAAUGCCUUGGGAUCUGAUUCUGUCUCCAUUGCUGUCACUUUAGCAGGAAAACCACUGAUAAAGGCAUCAAGAGCUAUUGUGAUCAACACAGACUUGCCUGCUGUUACUGCUGACAUUGGAAGCACAGUGAAAACAAUCCAAGGAGCAAAUGUUACCAUUAUCUGCCAAGUUGCAGGUGUACCUGAAGUAGAAGUUGCUUGGCUCAAGGAUCAGAUCCAGCUGGGCCCUCCACACCAUCUACAUGAUGGAUCGCUGCUGAUUGUAGAUGCAUCUUUAUCUGAUCAGGGAUUCUACUCUUGCAAGGCAGUCAAUCUUCAUGGGGAAGUGACUGAGAGUACGCAGCUGAUGAUUCUUGACCCCCCACGACCCCUCCUUCAUUUAGAAGACUUGACAACAAUGCUUUUAGUCACAGAGCCAGGUGUUACUUCAGUGAUGACCUCUCCUUCAGGAUCAAGACUGACUCUAAACGCUGGGAGUUCUGUCCUCAUAGGUUGCCCAGUAGAUGGUCAUCCAACCCCUAACAUCACCUGGUUUUAUGCUGGUCAGCCCAUCAGCAUUAAACACCACAUCUUGGCAGCUGGUCAGAUUCUUCAGAUAUUAAAUAUCACUGACAGUUAUCAGGGUGAAUUCAGCUGCCUUGCACAAAAUGAAGCUGGCUCACUGAUGCAAAAAACAUCUCUUAUAAUCCAAGAAUAUUGGUGGUCAGUGGACAAGAUGAUGGCAUGCUCAGCUUCCUGUGGUAACAGAGGGGUACAGCUACCUCGACUCCGGUGCUUACUAGAUGGGACAGAGGUCAACAUAUCCCUCUGCAAAGAGAAGCCCAAGCCAAUGCUACAACCCAUUGCUUGUAACAGAAGAGACUGUCCUUCCAGGUGGAUGGUGACAUCUUGGUCCCUUUGUACUCAAAGCUGUGGUGGAGGGGUCCAGACCCGCCGGGUGACGUGCCAGAGACUGACAGCUGCAGGGAGCUCUACCCCCAUGUCGAACGAUGCAUGUGCCCAAGUGGCUAAACGGCCAGUGGACACCCAGUCCUGUAACAGGCAACCAUGUAUGGAGUGGGUGGCCUCCUCCUGGGGCCAGGUAAGGACCAAAUAGAAAAUGCAGACACACACACAUGCUCUUGUUUUGCAGGGUGGCAACUGACAAUGAAAGCAAUGCUUCUGCAUCCAGCAUUAAUAUGGUGUGUGAACGGUUAAGAGGCAGCUGAGCUCCUGACAGCCUACAGCCUCAUGUUUUAUACAUGGGAUUAUUGGUAUAACCAAACAUCAUGAAUUUCACAAAGAUAGCAGGCUGAUACCAUGCAGGGGCAUUUUCAGUUGAAUUGUCCCAGAUGGGCACUGUCUUGAGCACAGAAGCACACUGUCUCGAGGAGAGCUUAUGGAGGGAACAUGUCUUAGUCAGGCAUAACCAACUGCAAGUUUCCUGAUGCUUGUUAAGGGAGGGGGGAAAAAUGCAUCCCCUGGGUUGGAGCAGCCUGUUUUCACACCCUCUUCAGUGUGCCAGACUGUUCUGCAUUGUAAGCCAAAUGUGGCCCUACCUUCUCCUUUCCCCAUCUCCUUGGGGCUGAUGUGCAUGCUUGAGGAGAGUCAGUUGAAAAUAGUCUCAACACUUCUCCAGGUGCAGCAACCGUGCUUGUGACUGGUUCUUGCCUGGGGCUGAGAAAUGCUCCCUGCCUUGUCUCUUGUAUGAUGAGUUGUGUACUUAUUAAAGGCUGGUUGCACCUAGCCCUUUGCUUCCCUACUCUUCUUUCAGUCCCUCUCUGCAGUUAUUUACACUGAUGAACAUAACCCUGGCAAGUUCAUAACCCUUUUCCUGAACAGGUGCAGUUUGGACAUUGGCAGCAAAAGUCUCCUCAGGCUGCUGAGCCAAUGUCUCAAUAUGGGUUGAGAAAAGUCAGUCUCCAUGAGAGAGAGGUUUGGUCAGCUGUCAUGGCCCAUUCAAUCCUUGCUUCCGCUGCUAAAACUUUUCUUUGCAUAUGAAUGUAAGGAAGCCCACAUUCUUCUAAACUUUGAAUAUCUGGGUUAUGCAGCAUUUAAUGUUCCUUUCAUUCAGCAUUCCUUUCCUGGGCUGACAUGUAGGAGGGUCUCUUUAUAAAGCCCCAAAUUUGCAAAGGUUUCGUGGUUGCCUGGGAUCUUGUGAAAUCCAGGUCACUUGAACUGGUACACAAAGGAAAGUGUCACACAAGACUAGAUUCAAAUCAUUUUAAGAAUUCCAUACAUUAAUUUGAAAAUUCUGAAACUCUCACUACUUUACAUAGUCCUCAGGCAUUCCAAAGGUUUCUGUAAGCUGUAAAUAAUUCAUAAUACUAUGUGUGAAAUCCUCUUCUUGUGGAGACCCUGGGGUCUUUCAUUCUAUGGAUCCCUCCACACUAGCAAAGCUCCUAGAAGAAGUAUGUACUUUGGUUGCAGCCCACAUGCAGGCAAUGUGAUACCAUUCAACCUGCACUCAUUCAAUAAUGGCUGGGCCACAAUUAAAGGUUACUGAGACUGCAACAGUCUAGGCCUACAGAGCUAAUAGUUGUAGCCAAGGCAGAGGCUUGAAUCCAGACGUUCUCCUGUUCAAGUCCUUACCUAGGGGCGUAGACUGAAUCAAAAACAGGCUUUAAUCCAGAGGGGCUAAUUUGCUUUGCUUUGAUGCGUUAGUCAAAUAUUUUAAUGUCACUUUUGGCAGGAAAGACAUUUUUGAUGAAAGAACAGUUUAUCUGUAGCAAAGCUGAAGUGGUCAUAUCUUUCAAUCAACAUCAUAAUAGUAUUGGUCAGGCCUUGAUAAGGAAACAAGUUUAGUGAAAGCCACCAAAAGGCUAUUGAAAUUAUUACAUAGCAUCAGUGUUGUAUAUACAAUGAUGACAUUAUCCUCAGUAAUGUCAUCAUUAUAUAUUUUGUAGUCUUUCACUGCAUGGUAGGACAAUUGGAAAGCAAUGGUAAAUAAAGUAUACUAUCUCAUUCUGUUACGUCUCACAUGGCAAUGUGAUGCUAUGUCUCAAUUAGUCAUACUCUUUUCUAAAUAUAGUCCUGAACACAAAUUUAAAAAGCCACUUAUUAAGCAGCAUGCAACACUGGCCAGUUUGCUUAAUCAAAAGUAAUAAUCAAUGUUACAAAAUUUUAGUGGAACAAAAUUUAUUGCAAUGCAUUCAGUGGUUUUAGCAAAAUAACCAUUUCUGUUGAUCAUCUGAAACUAACUGCAUGUAUGUUUUGGAAGAAAUUGAUUCAGAAAAUUAGACUGAGUUAUCAUGAAGUGUAUAUGAUUAAAGACUGCAGUAUUCUUUUAAAAAAAAGAAGCAAAUUGCUCAAUUUGUACUUCCUUUGGAAUUUCAGGUAAGGAUUGCAUAACUCUUGCUGUUGGCCGGUUACCUUGCAGGGGUGGUUUUAUCUCCCUGGUGGUUUAUGUCAUUCCACAUGAUGUCAUACCCAGUCUAGAUUGUCAGAGGCAUGAAUUCAUCUGUUACAUCUGACCUUUGUGCUUUUCAGUAUAAUAUUUCUCCCACCUGAAAAAAAAAUUCUCAACAUCCAUGUAAACCUAGACUGCUCAGUUCCAAGCCAUGACUACAAGACAAUUAUUUAAUUACAAUUAAGAAUAGCACAUUGGCUGCGGAUCAGUGACAUUUCACUAUUGUAUUACAGAGUUUACCCAAGGUGUCGUCAGGUUCAUAUUGACCAGGUUCAGUGAUUAGCUUCCCCAAACUAUAAAGAAAAUAAAAAGAUGACUUAAUCCUCUCCAAAACUAAUUCCUUGCUUUUUUCUCCCAUCUUCUUUCAUUUGCUGCAAGCAAAUCACUGUAGGCUGUUUGACCUCCAAUGUCUGAGUUUUCUUCUAAUCAGUGCUUCAAAACAAAAAUUCCCAUUGACUCAAGUUUGUGGGUGAUGAACACUGCCAGCAUGUACAUAUCUUGCCCAUGCUCUGCCUACUCAAAUGAAUGUCUUCUCUAUGCACCUUUUCUCAGUAUGGGUCUGACCCAGUGUCCAAUGAAGGCAUUUGAAUGCCUUGUAUUGACUUGCUUCUCUCUCUUCCAGCCCUCAGGGAAGUGAAAACCAACAGCAGGAAAGGGGGCUGUGUGAGGAGGCUCUGCAGGGGCAAAAGAGUUUCUGAGAGGAAGAAGAUAAGAGAGGUUAGGACUACAGUCAGGAAAAAUCCCUGCCCACUAGUGGUAUCCUCACCUUCAUGUCCAUUCUUUUCCAUGUCCCAAGCAGCAGGACCCUACUGGAAACAGUAGAGAUUGACUGCCUAGAAAUCAAGCAGGUUAAUGAACACUUAAUGAAAUGGUGGUCCAUAUCUUGGCUGUCUGUGAUUUAAACUAGGAAGAGGAGAAGAAUAUUAAAUUGCAGUGUGCAACUGGUGAAUUUGAGUCACUAGGGUUGUCUUG